rnacentral:lncRNA from 1 species
AGAAUGUUUUUGCAGGAAUUAAUUCAAGACUUCAAGACUCCAUGUCUAAGUCAUAGAGUUUGUAUUAAGGGUGUAAAAGUGUAAUUUUCGUUUAUUGGAUUGAUCAUGCAGGAGAUUCUCGUUUGGUGAUUGCGAUGAUCUUCUUUUUAUGAAUUAUGAGUUGUAUACGAACUUUGUAGUAUAUUUUGUCACGAAAUCGCCAAAGGGGGAGAUUGUUAAUGAUUUUAUAGAUUGGCGAAUUUCGUAGAGUUGUUUGGAGUCUUGAAGAGUUGAUCGCAGAAGUUAUUCAAAUUGGAGAACGAAGACUUAUUCGGAAAGUUUGACA